CCUACGGGGGGCAGCAGUGGGGGAUAUUGCACAAUGGGGGGAACCCUGAUGCAGCGACGCCGCGUGGGUGAAGGAGCGUUUCGGCGCGUAAAGCCCUAUCGGCAGGGAAGAAGAUGACGGUACCUGACCAAGAAGCCCCGGCUAACUACGUGCCAGCAGCCGCGGUAAUACGUAGGGGGCAAGCGUUAUCCGGAUUUACUGGGUGUAAAGGGAGCGUAGGCGGCAAGGUAAGUAAGAUGUGAAAGCCCGCAGCUUAACUGCGAGGAUUGCAUUUUAAACUAUCUAGCUUGAGUACAGGAGAGGUAAGCGGAAUUCCUAGUGUAGCGGUGAAAUGCGUAGAUAUUAGGAAGAACACCAGUGGCGAAGGCGGCUUACUGGACUGUAACUGACGCUGAGGCUCGAAAGCGUGGGGAGCGAACAGGAUUAGAUACCCGAGUAGUC
rnacentral:rRNA from 1 species